UAUAUUUCUAUUUUUUAUUUUACUUGUAUGUGUAUAUUUAUAUAAUUAUGGCUUAUUGAAAUUAGUCUCUUGCUAUUUUUGCUACUUGAAUUUAAUAUUACCAUUUAUAUUUCUUGUUGUUAUUAUAUUUAUUCUGAUGUGUGAGCUGCUGUGUCCAAAUAAUUUUCCUUGUGGGUCAAUAAAGUUUGUCCAAGUCUAACCACUUAGAUUUAACAUGAUGAUGAGAAGAUGCUGUCACACGUCACAAGACUUGCUGUGGUUUCUGUUAAAGGUGCAUUGUGUAACUUUUUUGGUGGAAGGUCCGUGAAAUGUUUUUCCUCUAUGGAGAUGUUAUUGCUUUGUCUAAGGUGUUUCAAGGUAUGGUAAUAAGUAUUUCUAUCAUCGUGUAGCUCAAACCAGGCCAAGUUACAGGUCAGGUCUGUGGAGAGUAGGGUAAGCAGAUUUUCUAAAUUAAAAACUGGGACACACCUGGGAUGGGUUAGGAUGGUUGGUAUACAUAAAAUUAUGAAAAGAGCAUCCAUCGUACUGAUAAUCUGAGGGACCUCUGUUGAUGGAUUUAUUUAUUUAUUUAUUUAUAUUGUAUUUUAGGUUAACAAAUGACAAUAUAUUCUCCUCUUUACACACCUGGGACAUUUCUUGUGUAAAACUGAGACAAAUCAAUGGUUUUGGAUAAAUCUGAUGGGAGGACAUACACUGAAAAAACGGUCCGAGAGGGGUUGCUCAAAUUGCAAAAACAAAUUUGACAACAAUAACAUCACUUUUUUACGUUUCUCUGUCAAGCAUGUUUAAAUCUUACAAACAUCGCUUGAUUGUGGCCGAUGUGAGACCUGCAUGUUUUAAUCAGGUUGAGGAAACAUGACUUUAUUAUCAUUUCUGGUGAGGCUCCUCCCUCUGGAAUUCUCCUCCCCAAAACUUUUGGAGGGAAAAUUCAAAUGUAGCAGGACACAGGAGAGUUCCAGGAGCAGAAGACACACAGUGUGGAGCAGGAGGAUUAUGAGAACUGAUCUGGAGAGUCGUCUACAAACAAAGAGUGAUGUCCAGAGCUCUGCUGGAGCUGUGGGGAAGUUCAUGAAUGUUACAGCUGAUGUUUCAGAAAAAAGGAAGAUGUUUGAGAACCAACAAAACACAGACCACAGAUGAACAAAGUGAUGUGGCAUUAGGAGGACUUUAUACCAGAUGCCCUCCCUGUUACUGUGUUUAGAGGAAGAAAAGCAGCACAUGG